GUGCUCGCUUGGUCAGCACAUAUACUAAAAUUGGAAUGAUACAGAGAUUAGCAUGGCCCCUAAAAUUAAUUUCAUUAUUGGGCUGAGAAGGUGGCUAAAUGGUU
rnacentral:snRNA from 1 species